rnacentral:rRNA from 1 species
UACGGAGGAUGCAAGCGUUAUCCGGAAUGAUUGGGCGUAAAGCGUCCGCAGGUGGCUGUGUAAGUCUGCUGUCAAAGAGCAAAGCUCAACUUUGUAAAGGCAGUGGAAACUACAUAGCUAGAGUACGGUCGGGGUAGAAGGAAUUCCUGGUGUAGCGGUGAAAUGCGUAGAGAUCAGGAAGAACACCGGUGGCGAAAGCGUUCUGCUAGACCUGUACUGACACUGAGGGACGAAAGCUAGGGGAGCGAAUGGG